CAUGUAGGCGGUUAAGUAAGUCUGAUGUGAAAGCACACAGCUCAACUGUGAUGUUGCGUUGGAAACUGCUUGACUUGAAUCCGAGAGGGGUGUGUGGAAUUCCUAGUGUAGGGGUGAAAUCUGUUGAUAUUAGGAAGAACACCAGAGGCGAAGGCGACACACUGGCUCUGGAUUGACGCUGAGAUGCGAAAGCGUAGGUAGCGAACAGGAUUAGAUACCCUGGUAGUC
rnacentral:rRNA from 1 species